GACGAACGCUGGCGGCGUGCCUAACACAUGCAAGUCGAACGGUAAGGCCCUUCGGGGUACACGAGAGGCGAACGGGUGAGUAACACGUGGGUGAUCUGCCCUGCACUUCGGGAUAAGCCUGGGAAACUGGGUCUAAUACCGGAUAGGACCACUGCCUGCAUGGGUGGGGGUGGAAAGCUUUUGCGGUGUGGGAUGGGCCCGCGGCCUAUCAGCUUGUUGGUGGGGUGAUGGCCUACCAAGGCGACGACGGGUAGCCGGCCUGAGAGGGUGACCGGCCACACUGGGACUGAGAUACGGCCCAGACUCCUACGGGAGGCAGCAGUGGGAAAUAUUGCACAAUGGGCGCAAGCCUGAUGCAGCGACGCCGCGUGAGGGAUGACGGCCUUCGGGUUGUAAACCUCUUUCAGCACCGACGAAGCGCAAGUGACGGUAGGUGCAGAAGAAGGACCGGCCAACUACGUGCCAGCCGCCGCGGUAA
rnacentral:rRNA from 1 species